rnacentral:rRNA from 1 species
UACGUAGGGCGCAAGCGUUAUCCGGAAUUAUUGGGCGUAAAGAGCUCGUAGGCGGUUUGUCACGUCUGCUGUGAAAACCCAUGGCUCAACCGUGGGCUUGCAGCCGAUACGGGCAGGCUAGAGUUCGGUAGGGGAGACUGGAAUUCCUGGUGUAGCGGUGAAAUGCGCAGAUAUCAGGAGGAACACCGGUGGCGAAGGCGGGUCUCUGGGCCGAUACUGACGCUGAGGAGCGAAAGCGUGGGGAGCGAACAGG